CGCAUCUGUGCAUGCAGCAUAUCAAUAGCGGAGGAAAAGAAACUAACAAGGAUUCCCUUAGUAACGGCGAGUGAAGCGGGAAGAGCUCAAAUUUGAAAUCUUCAGGGUUUUACCUUGACGAAUUGUAGUUUAAAGAAGUGUUUUCUGUUGAAGUUUUGGUAAAAGUUCUUUGGAAUAGGACAUCAUAGAGGGUGAGAAUCCCGUAUUUGACCAUUAUUUUCAGCUGUGUGAUACACUUUCAAAGAGUCGGAUUGUUUGGGAAUGCAGUCCAAAAUGGGUGGUAAAUUUCAUCUAAAGCUAAAUAUUGGCGAGAGACCGAUAGCGAACAAGUACCGUGAGGGAAAGAUGAAAAGAACUUUGAAAAGAGAGUUAAACAGUACGUGAAAUUGUCAAAAGGGAAGCGUUUGACACCAGUGUUGUUUUCUCGAAAAUCAAUUAAAAAGAGUUAGAUUUUGUUGUGUAUUGACCUUAACAGCUUGCAUUUCAAUUUUCUUGCUUUUUUUAAUGCACUUUUCGUUUAACAAGUCAACAUCAGUUUCUUUUGUUGUAAAAAGGUCAUUGGAAGGUGGCUUUCUUUUCGGAGAAAGUGUUUAUAGCCUUUGACUCCUGCAAUCGGAGAGACUGAGGUCUGCAGCGUAGAUCCUUCGGGGUUAGAUACAUUUGUGCUAAGUUAUAGCUUUUUAUAGACAACUUGUUGACUAUGAUUAGUCUUGUAGCUUACUCGCUUAUGCUAUUUUACCUACGCUUAGGAUGUUGACACACGCGCGUGCUCG
rnacentral:rRNA from 1 species